rnacentral:rRNA from 1 species
CCUACGGGUGGCAGCAGUGGGGAAUAUUGGACAAUGGGGGCAACCCUGAUCCAGCCAUGCCGCGUGUGUGAAGAAUGCCCUCGGGUUGUAAAGCACUUUCAGUGAGGAAGAACGCCUGGUGGUUAAUACCCAUCAGGAAAGACAUCACUCACAGAAGAAGCACCGGCUAACUCCGUGCCAGCAGCCGCGGUAAUACGGAGGGUGCGAGCGUUAAUCGGAAUUACUGGGCGUAAAGCGCGCGUAGGUGGCUUGAUAAGCCGGUUGUGAAAGCCCCGGGCUCAACCUGGGAACGGCAUCCGGAACUGUCAAGCUAGAGUGCAGGAGAGGAAGGUAGAAUUCCCGGUGUAGCGGUGAAAUGCGUAGAGAUCGGGAGGAAUACCAGUGGCGAAGGCGGCCUUCUGGACUGACACUGACACUGAGGUGCGAAAGCGUGGGUAGCAAACAGGAUUAGAUACCCCUGUAGUC